UGAAUCAAUGCGUUUUUCUCU
rnacentral:piRNA from 1 species